UCUGGUAAUGAUAGCAAAGAGGUCACACCCGUUCCCAUUCCGAACACGGAAGUUAAGCUCUUUAGCGCCGAUGGUAGUUGGGGGUCUCCCCCUGUGAGAGUAGGACGUUGCCAGGC
rnacentral:rRNA from 2 species